UCAGAAUUUGCAACAAGCGGACGGAAGAGCAAUAUCCGUAGUCGUAUGGAAGAAGCCAGAGUUGGAAUGUGAAGCUGGUUAUCUUUAGAAAACACUGAGUAGAUUUAGCUUGCUUCGUUGGAUUCCCCUCAGAUCAGCACAUCCUGAUCAGAGGUCUGCCAUGGAUUCCCGCGAGGAGAGGCACAUUGUAGGACCCCUUGUACACAGUUCAUUUGAAAUGCAAAUCUGACUCAACGGGUGUUGUCAUCAUCAACCAACAUUGUUCAUUCUCCUCCAGUGCUACCAACAGUAUUUUUUUCUCCAGAAGUCACAGAAUUUUCAGAGCGGAUCAGAAUCCCACUUGUGAUUGGUAGAUUAUUUUUGUCUUCUAACGUUGCUUUAUUAAACUUGGAACAUACUCCAUGAGUUAAUGCUCAAGAGGAGAAAAUGAAGCACCUCUCGACAGAUGCUAAGUGUAACUGCCACUACUGGUAAUAAUCCCUGGUUUUCAGUGAUCACAACUCUAACCAAAUCAACCCAAUCAACCACACACACUUAUAGCACAUAAAGUAAGCAUUUUGUCCUUAUGACAGACUUUUAAGUCACAGGCAAAGUUUUGUUGCUCUCGGAAGAAAAACCUAAAUUUGUCAGUUAAGUUUUUUGUUACAUUGAAUGUUAUUGGUAACUAUCCACAACUCUAGGAUCUCAACGUUAAAAUAGGGACCUUUCUUUUCCAUUUCCUGGUUUCAGUUUUGGUGUUUUUCUUCCGACAGCAAGGAGGAUGCAAGCUGGGUUGCACCUUUGCACUACUAGCAAAACUUAAUUAUGUACCAACAGUGAAUUACAGGCAUAAAGUACAUAAGGCUACAAAGCACCAAGACUUUAUUUUGCACAACCCCCUAUCAGCGAAGAUCAGCUUCAACUGUCUAAGAAGUUGUAUUUCUGUUAAGUUUGAAAUUAAUGUUCUAUUGCACUACAAGUGUUGCAAAUAGUGCUGUGUGGGGUACACUGUGCCAAAAUGAGUCUCUCUGGGGAGUAUGAAGAGGGAAGCACUCCCUCUAGUAUCUGUGAAGAGACUGAAGAAGAAGCCACUGCUUCUAGAAUGAGUCUCUCUGGGGAGAAUGAGGAGGCUGGCCCUCCCUCUAGUAUCUGUGAAGAGACUGAAGAGGAAGCCACUGCUUCUAGAAUGAGUUUCUCAGGGACUGAGGGAGCGAUGUCCCCUAAAAGGAGUUUUCCUGCUGAACAGGACACUGACAGGGAGCUUAAGAGGUUCAUGACAGACAGACCAGUCUCGCCUGCACCUAGUGGUGUCUCCAUGAAGAGUGACAAGUCAAUGGGACUUCCUAUUCUCUUCAGUGAUGGAGAAUUAUUCACUGGGAAAAGCAGUAUCUCUGAGGAGAAUGACCAGUCAACGGAUCACCAACCCAGAGUCCCUACUGAUGACAGAGUGUACCCAACAGAAGUCCAGGAGAAAAUUAAACCCUACUUGAAGAAUAGGAUAUAUUCUUUAUUUGAGGGCAUUGAAGAUCAAGGAAAAACGACACCUCUUAACGACAUCUACACAGAGCUCUACAUCACACAAGGUGGAAUUGGAGAGGUCAAUAAUCAGAAUGAGGUGAGACAGAUUGAGACAGCAUGCAGUUGUCAAGUAGAACACGAGACAUCAAUCCAACUCAAUGACAUCUUCAAACCCUUACCUGGACAAGACAAGCCUAUCAGAACAGUGCUGACAAGGGGAGUUGCUGGCAUUGGAAAAACAGUGUCUGUGCUGAAGUUCAUGUUGGACUGGACUGAAGGAAAAGCAAAUCAAGACAUCCAGAUCAUCUUCCCACUUCCUUUUCGGGAUCUGAACUUGAUGAGAGAUACAAAUCUAAGUCUGAUGGAACUACUACAUCACUCCUUUAUAGAAACAAAUGAAUCAGAAAUAUCAGAAAAUAUUGUGUUUGUUUUUGAUGGUCUGGAUGAAUGUCGCCUUCCUCUAGACUUCCAGAAUAAUAAGAUCUGCUGUGAUGUCACAGAGUCAACUUCAGUGGAUGUGUUGCUGACAAACCUCAUCAAAGGGAAUCUGCUUCCCUCUGCUCACAUUUGGAUAACAUCCCGACCUGCAGCAGCCAAUCAGAUCCCUCCUGAGUGUGUUGACCAGGUGACAGAGGUACGAGGGUUCAGUGACCCACAGAAGGAGGAGUACUUCAGGAAGAGAAUCGGUGAGGAGGACCUGGCCAGCAGAAUCAUCUCACACAUAAAGACGUCAAGGAGCCUCCACAUCAUGUGCUACAUUCCAGUGUUCUGUUGGAUUUCAGCCACUGUCCUAGAGAGACUAUUGGUUGAAGCAGAGAGUCGAGAGAUCCCCAAGAAUCUGACUCAAAUGUACACUCACCUCAUGAUCUUCCUGUCAAAACUGAGGACUCAGAAAUAUCCUGUAGAGCAUGCCAACGAUUCUCACUGGGAUAAAGAGAUGAUUCAGGCACUGGGAAAAUUGGCUUUUCAACAGCUAGAAAAAGGCCAUCUGAUAUUCUAUGAGGAAGACCUGAGAGAGUGUGGCAUUGACAUCAAGGAUGCGUCUGUGUACUCUGGAGUGUGCACUCAGAUCUUCAGAGAAGAGUCUGGGCUUAACCAGAUGAAGGUGUACUGCUUUGUACAUCUGAGUAUCCAGGAGUUUCUGGCUGCACUAUAUGUGUUCCUCAUGUUCACUAACGACAACAACAAUCUGAUGACUAAAGAGAAAUCCCUCCGCAACAAAAACAGUCUAUAUGAAGAUGCAGUGGACAAGGCCUUGCAGUUUGAAAAUGGCCAUCUGGACCUUUUCCUCCGCUUCCUUCUAGGCCUUUCACUGCAGUCCAAUCAGCAUCUCCUACAAGGCCUACUGACACCAACAGGAAGCAGCUCACAGAACAACAAGGAAACAGUCAAGUACAUCAAGGAGAAGAUCAGGAAGAACCUCCCCCUGGAGAGGUGUAUCAAUCUGUUCCACUGUCUGAAUGAACUGAAUGAUCAUUCUCUAGUGGAGGAGAUCCAAAGCUACCUGAGAUCAGGAAGUCUCUCAAAAUCUAAACUCUCAUCUGGACAGUGGUCAGCUCUGGUCUUCAUGUUGCUGACCUCCGAGAAGCUGGAUGUGUUUGACCUGAAGAAAUACAUCAGAUCAGAUGCGGCUCUUCUCAAACUUCUCCCAGUUGUCAGAUCCUCUAGAACAGCCCUGCUGAACGAAUGUAAACUCACCAAGAAAAGCUUUGAGGCACUGGCUUCUGUUCUCAAAUCAAACUCAUGCUGUCUGAGAGUGCUGGACAUGAGUGGCAAUAAACUCCAGGAUUCAGGAGUGAAGCUGCUCUCUGCUGGACUGGAGGAUCCACACUGUAAACUGGAGACAUUGAAGUUGAAUGAUUGCAACCUAACUGAGAAAUCCUGUGAGGUGCUGGCUUUAACUCUCAGAUCAAACACCUCAAGUUUGAGAGAGCUAGACCUGGGAGGAAAUGAACUCCAGGAUUCAGGAGUGAGAUUCAUCUGUGCUGGACUUGAGAAUCCACAAUGUAAAUUGGAGACACUGAGGCUGUCAGGCUGCAGCAUCACAGAGGAAGGCUGUGCUUCUCUUGCUUCAGCUCUGAGGUCAAACCCCUCCCACCUGAAGGAGCUGGACCUGAGUGGAAAUACUCUAGGAGUCUCUGGAGUAAAGCUGCUCUCUUCUGUACGAGAGGAUCCCCUCUAUACACUGGAGACACUGCAGAUCAAGACACACAGACCAGUCUCACCUGUACCUAGCUGUGUCUCCAUGAAGAGUGACAUCUCUAUGCUACCUCCUAUUCACUUCAGGGAGGGAGACUUUUCCACUGAACAAAGGAUCAAGACAGACCGACUAGUCUCACCUGUACCAAGCUGUGUCUCAAUGAAGAGUGACAAGUCAAUGGGACUUCCUAUUCUCUUCAGUUAUGGAGAAUUAUUCACUGGGAAAAGCAGUAUCUCUGAGGAGAAUGACCAGUCAAUGGAUCACCAACCCAGAGUCCCUACUGAUGACAAAGUGUACAUAACCAUAUCCACUAAGACAGAAAUCCAGGAGAAAAUGAAAUCCUACUUGAAGAAUAGGGCAUAUUCUUUAUUUGAAGGCUUUGAGGAUCAAUCCAAAACGACAACUCUUAACAACAUCAACACAGAGCUCUACAUCACACAAGGUGGAAGUGGAGAGGUUAAUUAUGAACAUGAGGUGAGACAGAUUGAGACAGCAUGCAGGUUUCCAGUAGAACAAGAGACAUCAAUCCAACUCAAUGACAUCUUCAAACCCUUACCUGGACAAGACAAGUCUAUCAGAACAGUGCUGACAAGGGGAGUUGCUGGCAUUGGAAAAACAGUGUCUGUGCUGAAGUUCAUGUUGGACUGGACUGAAGGAAAAGCAAAUCAAGACAUCCAGAUCAUCUUCCCACUUCCUUUUCGGGAUCUGAACUUGAUGAGAGAUAAAAAUCUAAGUCUGAUAGAACUACUACAUCACUCCUUUAUAGAAACAAACAAAUCAGAAAUCUCAGAAAACAAAAAUAUUGUGUUUGUUUUUGAUGGUCUGGAUGAAUGUCGCCUUCCUUUAGACUUCCAGAAUAAUAAGAUCUGCUGUGAUGUCACAGAGUCAACUUCAGUGGAUGUGUUGCUGACAAACCUCAUCAAAGGGAAUCUGCUUCCCUGUGCUCACAUUUGGAUAACAUCCCGACCCGCAGCAGCCAAUCAGAUCCCUCCUGAGUGUGUUGACCAGGUGACAGAGGUACGAGGGUUUAAUGACCCACAGAAGGAGGAGUACUUCAGGAAGAGAAUCGGUGAGGAGGACCUGGCCAGCAGAAUCAUCUCACACAUAAAGACGUCAAGGAGCCUCCACAUCAUGUGCCACAUUCCCGUCUUCUGUUGGAUUUCAGCCACUGUCCUAGAGAGACUAUUGGUUGAAGCAGAGAGUCGAGAGAUCCCCAAGAAUCUGACUCAAAUGUACACUCACCUCAUGAUCUUCCUGUCAAAACUGAGGACUCAGAAAUAUCCUGUAGAGCAUGCCAACGAUUCUCACUGGGAUAAAGAGAUGAUUCAGGCACUGGGAAAAUUGGCUUUUCAACAGCUAGAAAAAGGCCAUCUGAUAUUCUAUGAGGAAGACCUGAGAGAGUGUGGCAUUGACAUCAAGGAUGCGUCUGUGUACUCUGGAGUGUGCACUCAGAUCUUCAGGGAAGAGUCUGGGCUUAACCAGAUGAAGGUGUACGGCUUUGUACAUCUGAGUAUCCAGGAGUUUCUGGCUGCACUAUAUGUGUUCCUCAUGUUCACUAACAACAACAACAAUCUGAUGGCUAAAGAGAGAUCCCUCCGCAAAAACAAACUAUACCAAGAUGCAGUGGACAAGGCCUUGCAGUUUGAAAAUGGCCAGCUGGACCUUUUCCUCCGCUUCCUUCUAGGCCUUUCACUGCAGUCCAAUCAGCAUCUCCUACAAGGCCUACUGACACAGACAGGAAGCAGAUCACAGAGCAACAAGAAAACAGUCAAGUACAUCAAGGAGAAGAUCAGGAAGAACCUCCCCCUGCAGAGGUGCAUCAAUCUGUUCCACUGUCUGAAUGAACUGAAUGAUCAUUCUCUAGUGGAGGAGAUCCAAAGCUACCUGAGAUCAGGAAGUCUCUCAAAAUCUAAACUCUCAUCUGGACAGUGGUCAGCUCUGGUCUUCAUGUUAAUGACCUCCGAGAAGCUGGAUGUGUUUGACCUGAAGAAAUACAUCAGAUCAGAUGAAUCUCUUCUCAAACUUCUCCCAGUUGUCAGAUCCUCUAGAACAGCCCUGUAAGUGCUUAGUCAAAUUACAUUCCAGACAGCAUGCUAAUGUAACAUAAUAAUGAACAUCUGUUUGCAUUACCAUUUAGGCUGACAACUCAGUCCUUAAGGGGAGGUUUUUUGUUGGCACCUGUGUUUCUUGAGAUGCACCUUUUUUUCCACAGGCUGAACAAAUGUAAACUCACCAAGAAAAGCUGUGAUGCAAUAGCUUCUGUUCUCAAAUCCAACUCAUGCUGUCUGAGAGUGCUGGACAUGAGUGGCAAUAAACUCCAGGAUUCAGGAGUGAAGCUGCUCUCUGCUGGACUGGAGGAUCCACACUGUAAACUGGAGACAUUGAAGUUGAAUGAUUGCAACCUAACUGAGAAAUCCUGUGAGGUGCUGGCUUCAACUCUCAGUUUAAGCAUCUCAAGUUUGAGAGAGCUAGAUUUGGAGGAAAUGAACUCCAGGAUUCAGGAGUGAGAUUCAUCUGUGCUGGACUUGAGAAUCCACAAAGUAAAUUGGAGACACUGAGGCUGUCAGGCUGCAGCAUCACAGAGGAAGGCUGUGCUUCUCUUGCUUCAGCUCUGAGGUCAAACCCCUCCCACCUGAAGGAGCUGGACCUGAGUGGCAAUACUCCAGGAGUCUCUGGAGUAAAGCUGCUCUCUUCUGUACAAGAGGAUCCCCUCUAUACACUGGAGAGACUGCGGUUAAAUGAUUGACAGCUCACAGAUUCAGUGAAGGAAUGGCCUCAACUCAAAAUCCUUGGUUGUGGGAGUGCGCUGCAGUUAAAUGCUUCAGGGACAGUUACAAAAUAAAUUUCAAAGUGCGUGAAUGUAAAUAUUCAAUGCUUCGAAUCAACAAUGAUAGCUCCUUUUUAAUCGCUCAAUCAAUCAGAGAGCCCUGGUGAAGUGGUGCCAGGAAAAUACCUCUCCCUCAACAAAUGCAUCACUGGGGACACACUGCCUGCCCUCUAGGACAACUACAGCACCCAGUGUUACAUGUUCUCAACAACCUUAUUGUCUUCCUAGUAACUCUGUUGUACAUCUUACCCUGACUGAUAGCUUUAUUUCAGUGUAUUUGAUGUCUGGAUUGUCAUGUGUGUUGUACUAAUUGCUUGGAUUUUUAUUGUAGCAACUUGGGUUUUUGAAAAGCAUGUUACAAAUAUAUAUAUAUAUUUUAUUAUAGUAAUGUAGAAUUAUUCAAAUUGUAUGUAACCCUGUUUUAAUCUUUGAUAUACUGUAUAUUCAAAAUGAAUAAUACAAAUGAAUAAUAGUCCAAUUAAUUUAAUAUAAGUAGUAUUUAAUUUUAACAGUAAAAUGAAUAAUAGUAGUUAGUUAUUCCUAUUGCCGGGUAUGACUUGGGGCGCUAUUCAAUCUGUAUAACUGAAGCGGUACAGAUUGCACUAUAGAAAUGUAAAGUUAAUUUCCAACUGAGCCGACAUAUUCAGCAUUUACCCCCCAAAAAAUAAUAUUUGAAUAGUUUAUGUCCUUACAAGUAACUCUGCUGUACGUCUUACCUAUCUUUUUAUUUCAGUGUAUUAUAGGCCUCUGUAGUUUUUCUACUAUUGAAUACUACUUGCUUGGAUGUAUUUUUAUUGUAGCACCUUGGGGUUUAAAACAAGUAGCAUUUCUUACAUUCUAUGUGACCCUGUGUGUUAAUCUAUGGUAACCUGUAUUUCAUGUUCCUUAAAUAUAUGAAGUAAAACUGUCCUAUUGCCGUGUGA